CCUACGGGAGGCUGCAGUGAGGAAUAUUGGUCAAUGGCCGCAGGGCUGAACCAGCCAAGUCGCGUGAGGGAUGACGGUCCUAUGGAUUGUAAACCUCUUUUGUCAGGGAGCAAAGGGCGCCACGUGUGGCGCUUUGCGAGUACCUGAAGAAAAAGCAUCGGCUAACUCCGUGCCAGCAGCCGCGGUAAUACGGAGGAUGCGAGCGUUAUCCGGAUUUAUUGGGUUUAAAGGGUGCGCAGGCGGAAUGUCAAGUCAGUGGUAAAAUUUCGGGGCUCAACCCCGUCGUGCCGUUGAAACUGGCGUUCUUGAGUGAGCGAGAAGUAUGCGGAAUGCGUGGUGUAGCGGUGAAAUGCAUAGAUAUCACGCAGAACUCCGAUUGCGAAGGCAGCAUACCGGCGCUCAACUGACGCUCAUGCACGAAAGCGUGGGUAUCGAACAGGAUUAGAUACCCUGGUAGUC
rnacentral:rRNA from 1 species